rnacentral:lncRNA from 1 species
ACAAUGAAGAUUUGUUUUUAAUCAAGGAUUUUUUUUUUUAAAUGAAACUGAAGCAAUGGCUUACAAAUUUGAUUGGCUAACCCGGUGUGAUAUUGGAUUCUGUGAAAUGUGCUCUGUGCUAGAGUGCUCUGGUUUUGGCUGUUGCUUAUCUGAUGUGCUUAGUUAAUUUUAUGCUUAGCAUAUAUUAGUAUUAGUAUAUGAUGGUGAACUAUGCAGCCAUGAGAGGGCUUGCAACUAAAUUACAGGAUAAACAUAAGAGGUUCUGACAACUGUUGCGGCUAAUCCCCAUCGCCCGAUCGUCGGCAUCGCGCACCUACAAGAGAAGUCCUCACAGAUCGGAGAUGCCUCCGACGGGAUCCUCCGACGGUCAAAUCAGAGAGGACACUAGGUAACAGUGGAAAAUCAGGGGCUCAGCGAGAG